UACGUAGGGCGCAAGCGUUGUCCGGAAUUAUUGGGCGUAAAGAGCUCGUAGGCGGCCUGUCGCGUUCGCUGUGAAAUCCCGGGGCUUAACCCCGGGCGUGCAGUGGAUACGGGCUGGCUAGAGGCAGGCAGGGGAGAACGGAAUUCCCGGUGUAGCGGUGAAAUGCGCAGAUAUCGGGAGGAACACCGGUGGCGAAGGCGGUUCUCUGGGCCGUAACUGACGCUGAGGAGCGAAAGCAUGGGGAGCGAACAGG
rnacentral:rRNA from 1 species